UCCCUCUCAGGGUUGUACCUGGAGAGUUACCAGCACUCUACCAGUCUCGGCUACAGGUGGGAAAGUCAAGCAGAGGCCUACCCCUUCCAUUCCUAGCUUGGGAAGUGGCUAGCAAUUGGAAGGCAAUUUGCUGCAAAA